GCCACAAAGCUAGCUCAAACCCUAUAGCAAAAUUUUUACUCUAAAUACCUACUCAAACACCUAAAAAUAGAAACCAAAUCAUUUGACCUUCCCAGUAUGGGCGACAAAAAAGAAUCCCUGAAGCAAUAGAUAAAGUACCGCAAGGGAAAGCUGAAAAAGAAAUGAAAUAACCCAUUAAAGCGCAAAAAAGCAGAGAUUUCCUCUCGUACCUUUUGCAUCAUGAUUCAGCAAGUUAAUUCAAGCAAAGAGAACUCUAGUUUGCACCCCCGAAACUUGACGAGCUACUCCGAGACAGCCAACCAUGGGCCAACCCAUCUCUGUGGCAAAAGAGUGGGAAGAUCUCCGAGUAGAGGCAAAAAACCUACCGAGCCAAGUUAUAGCUGGUUGUCCAAUAAAUGAAUAAAAGUUCAGCCCCGCCUAGCCCAACUCAAAACAGUCCAACGACAAAAGACAAAGAGCUCAUUCGCGGGAGUUAAUCAGAGGAGGUACAGCUCCCCUGAUACAGGAUACAACCUUUUUAGGAGGCUAAAGAAUAUUAUUUAUAAGGUCUCAGGUCUCAGUGGGCCUGAAAGCAGCCAUCUGAUCCGAAAGCGUUAAAGCUCUGACCAUAAACAAGCCUUUUAUCCUAUUUUAACAUCUGCCCCCCUAAACCUUAUUGGACCUCCCCAUGCAUUCAUGGGAGAGACUAUGCUGAAACGAGUAACAAGAAGAAUGAACUUCUCCAUGCACAAGUGUAUGUCAAAUUGGACUAACCACCGACAAUCAACGAACCCAGCAAAAGAGGGCCCCGCACACUCGCCACCUCUGGCCAAGAAAACUAUGCUAUCCAAAAUCGUUACCCCAACACAGGAGUGCUAAAACAAGGAAAGACCAAAAGAAAAAAAAGGAACUCGGCAAACCCAGACCCCGCCUGUUUACCAAAAACAUCGCCUCUUGCACCACAAAGUAUAAGAGGUCCCACCUGCCCUGUGACAUUUAGUUUAACGGCCGCGGUAUCCUAACCGUGCGAAGGUAGCGCAAUCAAUUGCCUUUUAAAUGAAGGCCUGUAUGAAUGGUAUAACGAGGGUCUAACUGUCUCUUUUUUCUAGUCAGUUAAACUGAUCUGUCCGUGCAGAAGCGGACAUUAUUAUACAAGACGAGAAGACCCUAUGGAGCUUUAGACGCUAGCCAAUUAUGAAUAAGCGACUUAAAACUAAAUAAGUCUCAAGCACCCAUAAACUAUGGUAAGGCAGUCUUAGGUUGGGGCGACCGCGGGAGAAAACAAAGCUCCCAAGCAGACCGGGGCAAUCCCUCAAGCCAAGAGUUACAACUCUAAGCCACAAAAGUUUUGACUGAAAUGAUCCGAUCAAAAGAUCGAUUAACGAACCAAGUUACCCUAGGGAUAACAGCGCAAUCCCCUCCCAGAGUCCCUAUCGACGAGGGGGUUUACGACCUCGAUGUUGGAUCAGGACAUCCUAAUGGUGCAGCCGCUAUUAAGGGUUCGUUUGUUCAACGAUUAAAGUCCUACGUGAUCUGAGUUCAGACCGGAGAAAUCCAGGUCGGUUUCUAUCUGUAAAGUCCCCACCCCUAGUACGAAAGGACCGGAGUGGGGGGGCCCAUGCCAAUAGCAAGCCCCUUAUCUACCUGCUGAAGCCAACUAAAGCAGACAAAGAUAAACAACCCCACGGCUCAAGAAAAGAGCCGGCUUAUUUUAUUCGC
rnacentral:rRNA from 1 species